rnacentral:lncRNA from 1 species
ACCACAUCUUAAGUACAGUUUGACUUUCAUGACUAAAGAUAAAAAUUACAGGGAGGUAGGAUUUUAUUUCACUAUAAAGAUGAACUUCCUAACGAAAUGAGAAACUGAUUACAUCUGCUUAUUUGGACAGUGAAUGGAACCACAUAUUCUGCCUGUUGGCAAACACCAAAUCUGUAUAGUUUAUUUUCUUCAAAGGGCACUUGCCCCUUUGGAGUCAGCCACCAUGUUAUGAGGAAGUCUGGGACACAUGAAGAGGCCACAUGCACUUAUUCUGUCUAAAAGCCCUAGCUAAUUGCAAGGCUGACAGCCAGCAGCAACUAUCAUUUUUGUGAAUAAAUAAGUCUUCAGAUGAUUCCAAAUCCCAGCCUUUGAGUCACCCCAGCUGAUGUCAAGUAGAGCAAAGAUGAGCUAUCCUCACCGAACUCCAUCUAAAUUGCUGAUUCCUGAGCAAAAUAAAUGUCAUUGUUCU